AGUGAACGCUGGCGGUAGGCCUAACACAUGCAAGUCGAACGGCAGCACAGUAAGAGCUUGCUCUUACGGGUGGCGAGUGGCGGACGGGUGAGGAAUACAUCGGAAUCUACUUUUUCGUGGGGGAUAACGUAGGGAAACUUACGCUAAUACCGCAUACGACCUACGGGUGAAAGCAGGGGAUCUUCGGACCUUGCGCGAUUGAAUGAGCCGAUGUCGGAUUAGCUAGUUGGCGGGGUAAAGGCCCACCAAGGCGACGAUCCGUAGCUGGUCUGAGAGGAUGAUCAGCGACACUGGAACUGAGACACGGUCCAGACUCCUACGGGAGGCAGCAGUGGGGAAUAUUGGACAAUGGGGGCAAGCCUGAUCCAGCCAUACCGCGUGGGUGAAGAAGGCCUUCGGGUUGUAAAGCCCUUUUGUUGGGAAAGAAAAGCAGCAGGUUAAUACCCCGCUGUUCUGACGGUACCCAAAGAAUAAGCACCGGCUAACUUCGUG
rnacentral:rRNA from 1 species